AACCUCCGCAAUGUGAGAAAUCGCGACGGGGGGAUCCCAAGUGCCAUUCUUAACGGGAUGGCUUUUCAUUAGUGUAAAGAGCUUUUGGAAUAAGAGCUGGGCAAGACCGGUGCCAGCCGCCGCGGUAACACCGGCAGCUCUAGUGGUAACAAUUUUUAUUGGGCCUAAAGCGUCCGUAGCCGGUUUAAUAAGUCUCUGGUGAAAUCCUGUAGCUUAACUGUGGGAAUUGCUGGAGAUACUAUUAGACUUGAGACCGGGAGAGGUUAGAGGUACUCCCAGGGUAGAGGUGAAAUUCUGUAAUCCUGGGAGGACCGCCUGUUGCGAAGGCGUCUAACUGGAACGGUUCUGACGGUGAGGGACGAAAGUUAGGGGCGCGAACCGGAUUAGAUACCCGGGUAGUCCUAACUGUAAACGAUGCGGACUUGGUGUUGGGGUGGCUUUGAGCUGCUCAGUGCCGAAGGAGCUGUUAAGUCCGCGCCGUGGGAAGUACGGUCGCAAGACUGAAACUUAAAGGAAUU
rnacentral:rRNA from 1 species